GUCAAUCCUUGGUCAUUCCUCUGGUCUCCAAUUUCUUGACAACCAAUUUGUUGGGUGAUUUCUCUAUCAGAAUCAUUCACGAAUGAUUAUGAU